rnacentral:lncRNA from 1 species
GGAAUUUUAACCUUCUCAGCUUGCCCUGUUGUCGUCUCUUAGUCACAGAAGCCGUGCUAACCCAGUUGUUUCUCUUUGUUUCGGGGGAAAUCAGAACAAUUCUGUUUAAAACCUGAAACUAGGAAGUUAUAUAUAGAUGGUGUGGUUUGCAAACUUGCAAACUGAUGAUCCAACUGUGGAACUGUAUUGCAAUGAUCUACUUAUUCUCUUGUGCUACCAAUGAAGGCAGCUGCACAGAUACAUGGCUGAUCUGUUACUUGUUACUUAUGCAAAGUAAAUGCCAUCCCAUUCAAUAUAAUUUCACGUACAGUUCCGUAAUCAAGGACCUCUACCUUGUAGUUUGAGCUUCUGCUUGCUUGAUUUUCAUCUGGCCUUCUACAUGUCUCCAAGAUAUAUUUGCUCAUUGGGAACAUGAUGAUGAGUGCUCCAGACCUUGACCAGCCUGGAAGCUGAACCCAUGCUAUCUGAUGUCUCUAAACUAUAGCCCACGCACAGCAGCCACCACGUUGGAACUAUGGGGAGCGGAGGGUCCUUUGGCAACGAGGCAAGCAUGUGGAAAGGAAGAGGGUCGCCAUGAGUGGGAUGAAGAAUAGUUUGGUUGCCAUGAUGAUGGAGGAAGCAGGUGACAUUCGGAAUUGGGGGCAGAAGCUACACAUGUAGAUUGGGCAUGAAGUCGUGGAUGUGGGAGGUGGUCCGACGCCAUGCAUGUAGGUUCGGCACGAAGUAGAGCAAUUGCCUUGUAUGGGUUUUUUCUCAUUCAAAGAGAGUUAUUUCAUUUGAAAGUAUGGUGGUUCGCUUUCACCGUUGUAGUUUACCAAUUUUUUCUUUUCUUUCGUUUAACUUCAUCUGUGGUUGGGACCUAUCAACUGGUAUAAGAGCCAUUACGAACAAGGAGAGUAUCGAGCGGAUGGAACCCGAGCUAAGCAUCCUACAUAAGGAGUUGGCGUGGCUUGGAGGAGUGGGUGGAUGGGCGGCUUGUGGAGGUCUUGGAGGCCGUUCAUUAUCUUACUGCAUAGCCGCAAUUGUCGUUCGAG